AAUUAUCCUGUUUAAAGCAUUGUUAGUGAUGUUAAAACGAUCGAAACAGAUUAUUUAAGUGGUUCUUCGGGUGUAAGAGUGAUUUUCCGGCUUCGAGAUGUUCGAGAAAAGAAAACAACAGUGAGAAGUUAGUUACCAAUUUUUAUCGACGCUAAGUUUUUGACACCUCACCACAAGAUGCCUUAAAAUUUUUGAUUUUUCACCUAAAAAUGAUUAAAAGUGUUUCAAUCUAUUCAUUCCAAGCUUUCUAAUUACGUUUGAAGACACUAUAACAUCAGAUAAGGUUUAUUUCUUUUUAUUAAAGAAAGUGGUGUGGCAGCCCUGAUCGAUCCGCGAAUUUGACGUGAAGGUGAAGCUGUCAAGAAGGAUUUAUUAGAUUGAAAUGAGAUUUUGAAUCAAAAUCAAUCAAUUCUUGUUAAUUAAACGAUUUGGAGUAUUAUUUUAAGGUUUAUUUCUUUUUAUUAAAAAAAGUGGUGUGGCAGCCCUGAUCAGUCCACGAAUUUGACGUGAAGCUGUCAACAAGGUUUUAUUAGAUUUAAACGGGAUUUUGAAUCAAAAUCAAUCAAUUCUUCUUAAUUAAAUGGAUCGGAGUAUUAUUUUAAGGUUUAUUUCUUUUUAUUAAAAAAAGUGGUGUGGCAGCCCUGAUCAGUCCACGAAUUUGACGUGAAGCUGUCAACAAGGUUCUAUUAGAUUUAAAUGGGAUUUUGAAUCAAAAUCAAUCAAUUCUUCUUAAUUAAAUGAAUCGGAGUAUUA